AAACUUUCAGAGUUACUUAUUUUUGUUGCUACAUGACCUGCUUUUAUCUAGCUAGCUUAGUAAAAUAAUUACUGAAUUAUGAUUUACAUCCAACAAUAAUAACAUCUCUGCUGUCUCCGGGGUUAUCAUGUCUCGUAGACACAGAUUCAGCGGCUGCUGCACACCCACAUCCUCCUUCCCCCACGUCCCCCGUCCCCGUCUCAGCCGAACAAGAUGCAGAGUCAGCUUUAUUGUCUGCACCUCGUUCUCCUACUAAUGACCCAGUCCUCUCAGUGUCAGAAACAAGAGAGAGACAGAGAGUUUUGCCAGGAAAGAGUGUGGAAGUUGAGGAAGCGGUGAGAAUAGUGGAAUAUGAGAGCACAGAGGGAGCCCUAAGUGUAAAGGAAGAUAACAGAAGAGAGGAAGAUGAGAGAACAGAGGAAGCCAUGAGAGCAGACUCAGAGGAAGAUGAGAGAACAGGGGAAGCCAUGAGAGCAGACUCAGAGGAAGAUCAGAGAACAGCGGAAGCCAUGAGAGCAGACUCAGAGGAAGAUGAGAGAACAGAGGAAGCCAUGAGAGCAGACUCAGAGGAAGAUGAGAGAACAGGGGAAGCCAUGAGAGCAGACUCAGUGGAAGAUGAGAGAACAGGGGAAGCCAUGAGAGCAGACUCAG